rnacentral:rRNA from 1 species
UGGGUAGGGGAGCGUCGUGUGCCGGGUGAAGCAGCCGCGGAAGCGAGUUGUGGACGGUUCACGAGUGAGAAUGCAGGCAUGAGUAGCGAUACACACGUGAGAAACGUGUGCGCCGAUUGACUAAGGGUUCCUGGGUCAAGCUGAUCUGCCCAGGGUAAGUCGGGACCUAAGGCGAGGCCGACAGGCGUAGUCGAUGGACAACCGGUUGAUAUUCCGGUACCCGCUUUGAAACGCCCAGUACUGAAUCAGGCGAUGCUAAGUCCGUGAAGCCGGCCCGAUCUCUUCGGAGUUGAGGGUAGUGGUGGAGCCGAUGAACCAGACUUGUAGUAGGUAAGCGAUGGGGUGACGCAGGAAGGUAGUCCAGCCCGGGCGGUGGUUGUCCCGGGGUAAGGGUGUAGGACGCACGGUAGGCAAAUCCGUCGUGCAUAUAGUCUGAGACCUGAUGCCGAGCCGAUUGUGGUGAAGUGGAUGAUCCUAUGCUGUCGAGAAAAGCCUCUAGCGAGUUUCAUGGCGGCCCGUACCCUAAACCGACUCAGGUGGUCAGGUAGAGAAUACCGAGGCGUUCGGGUGAACUAUGGUUAAGGAACUCGGCAAAAUGCCCCCGUAACUUCGGGAGAAGGGGGGCCAUCACUGGUGAUCCGAUUUACUCGGUGAGCUGGGGGUGGCCGCAGAGACCAGCGAGAAGCGACUGUUUACUAAAAACACAGGUCCGUGCGAAGCCGUAAGGCGAUGUAUACGGACUGACGCCUGCCCGGUGCUGGAACGUUAAGGGGACCGGUUAGCUGCCUUUCGGGGUGGCGAAGCUGAGAACUUAAGCGCCAGUAAACGGCGGUGGUAACUAUAACCAUCCUAAGGUAGCGAAAUUCCUUGUCGGGUAAGUUCCGACCUGCACGAAUGGCGUAACGACUUCUCGACUGUCUCAACCAUAGGCCCGGUGAAAUUGCACUACGAGUAAAGAUGCUCGUUUCGCGCAGCAGGACGGAAAGACCCCGGGACCUUUACUAUAGUUUGAUAUUGGUGUUCGGUUCGGCUUGUGUAGGAUAGGUGGGAGACUGUGAAGCGGCCACGCCAGUGGUUGUGGAGUCGUCGUUGAAAUACCACUCUGGUCGUGCUGGAUGUCUAACCUGGGUCCGUGAUCCGGAUCAGGGACAGUGUCUGAUGGGUAGUUUAACUGGGGCGGUUGCCUCCUAAAGAGUAACGGAGGCGCCCAAAGGUUCCCUCAGCCUGGUUGGUAAUCAGGUGUUGAGUGUAAGUGCACAAGGGAGCUUGACUGUGAGACCGACGGGUCGAGCAGGGACGAAAGUCGGGACUAGUGAUCCGGCAGUGGCUUGUGGAAGCGCUGUCGCUCAACGGAUAAAAGGUACCCCGGGGAUAACAGGCUGAUCUUCCCCAAGAGUCCAUAUCGACGGGAUGGUUUGGCACCUCGAUGUCGGCUCGUCGCAUCCUGGGGCUGGAGUCGGUCCCAAGGGUUGGGCUGUUCGCCCAUUAAAGCGGUACGCGAGCUGGGUUUAGAACGUCGUGAGACAGUUCGGUCCCUAUCCGCUGUGCGCGUAGGAAUAUUGAGAAGGGCUGUCCCUAGUACGAGAGGACCGGGACGGACGAACCUCUGGUGUGCCAGUUGUCCUGCCAAGGGCAUGGCUGGUUGGCUACGUUCGGAAAGGAUAACCGCUGAAAGCAUCUAAGCGGGAAGCCUGCUUCGAGAUGAGUAUUCCCACCCUCUUGAGGGGUUAAGGCUCCCAGUAGACGACUGGGUUGAUAGGCCAGAUGUGGAAGCCCGGUAACGGGUGGAGCUGACUGGUACUAAUAGGCCGAGGGCUUGUCCUCAGUUG